AGAGUUUGAUUCUGGCUCAGGAUGAACGCUAGCUACAGGCUUAACACAUGCAAGUCGAGGGGCAGCAUUGGAGUAGCAAUACUUCAGAUGGCGACCGGCGCACGGGUGAGUAACACGUAUCCAACCUGCCGCUUACUCGGGGAUAGCCUUUCGAAAGAAAGAUUAAUACCCGAUGGUAUAAAGAGUUCGCAUGUUCUCUUUAUUAAAGAAUUUCGGUAAGCGAUGGGGAUGCGUUCCAUUAGAUAGUUGGCGGGGUAACGGCCCACCAAGUCUACGAUGGAUAGGGGUUCUGAGAGGAAGGUCCCCCACAUUGGAACUGAGACACGGUCCAAACUCCUACGGGAGGCAGCAGUGAGGAAUAUUGGUCAAUGGACGAGAGUCUGAACCAGCCAAGUAGCGUGAAGGAUGACUGCCCUAUGGGUUGUAAACUUCUUUUAUAAGGGAAUAAAGUGAGGGACGUGUCCCUUUUUGUAUGUACCUUAUGAAUAAGGAUCGGCUAACUCCGUGCCAGCAGCUGC
rnacentral:rRNA from 1 species